CCUGGCGGCCAUAGCGCGGGGGACCCACCUGAACCCAUGCCGAACUCAGAAGUGAAACGCCGUAGCGCCGAUGGUAGUGUGGGGUCUCCCCAUGCGAGAGUAGGACACUGCCAGGC
rnacentral:rRNA from 1 species